rnacentral:lncRNA from 1 species
CACAAGACUGAGCCCUUGUCUCACAUAUCACUGAAUUCCCAGUUAGACUCCUCUGAAGUACUUGCAAUAUCCCACAACUGUUUGGAAAGAUGGUAAAUCUUGGCAGUGUAUUUCAGCAGAGGGAGGUUUGGAGAAGUCCCAGUCCAUCAAAAGCCACCGUCCUUCUGACAGCAGAGAAGGAGACUUCCUUUAUUCCUUCCCACAGGCCUUGGCUUACAGGAGAGCUGAGAACCAGCAAGGCUUUGCUGAUUGCCAUACAAGAAGAUGGCAUCCCAAGAGACAUCGAAGCUUCUGGAUUCAGUGUGACUCAGAUAUGGAUCAGAGCAUCUUACCUUCAUGAGGGACUACAUGUGUGAGAACUGUGCUGAGAAGACCAGCUGGUGGAAAGUCUUGAGCACUUAUCAAGUGGUAGGCACUUGCUGAGCAUGUUAUGUGCAUCUCUGAUACAUCCAUACAGCUACCUACAUGAUUAUCCCAAUUUACAACCUCAGGUCACCGAGACUCAGCCAGGGCCAACUCACAACUCUGAGUCUCUGGCUCUGGAAGGUGA